AUUGAACGCUGGCGGCAGGCUUAACACAUGCAAGUCGAGCGGGGUGAUGGUGCUUGCACUAUCACUUAGCGGCGGACGGGUGAGUAAUGCUUAGGAAUCUGCCUAUUAGUGGGGGACAACAUCUCGAAAGGGAUGCUAAUACCGCAUACGUCCUACGGGAGAAAGCAGGGGAUCACUUGUGACCUUGCGCUAAUAGAUGAGCCUAAGUCGGAUUAGCUAGUUGGUGGGGUAAAGGCCUACCAAGGCGACGAUCUGUAGCGGGUCUGAGAGGAUGAUCCGCCACACUGGGACUGAGACACGGCCCAGACUCCUACGGGGGGCAGCAGUGGGGAAUAUUGGACAAUGGGGGGAACCCUGGUCCAGCCAUGCCGCGUGUGUGAAGAAGGCCUUAUGGUUGUAAAGCACUUUAAGCGAGGAGGAGGCUUACCUAGUUAAUACCUGGGAUAAGUGGACGUUACUCGCAGAAUAAGCACCGGCUAACUCUGUGCCAGCAGCCGCAGUAAUAC
rnacentral:rRNA from 1 species